CCAAAAAGUUGGUAGUCCAGUCCAACCGUCCAACACCACGUGGAAAAAGCGAGUCUGCCGACCAGAGCAGCAUGGAACACACUGGAGUGCAGAAUAACAUUACUCUAAAAAGAAAGUGAGAUGGGUUUAGAACGACACGAGGGACUGGGCAAACAUAAGACGUGAAAGAAUAAUGCAGAGGAUGAAUGAUGUGCAGAUGGAGAAAUGGAAUAAAGAAAGGAUUUAGGGAAGAAUGAAAAAGCUUUGGCAACAUAGCUUAAUAAUAUCAUCACCCUGCUCACUCAGCUGUCCAGUUUAUAACAAUACACACACACUAGAAAAGAGACAUAGACCAUUAACCCUUAAAUGCAUAGGUGUUUCACUAAGCAUUAUUACAUACUCUGGUCUUUAGAGAUACGGCACGUAUAUCUAUCACAAAUUGAUCUACAAUAUGCCCAAAUAGUGUCAAAUUUUCAAUAAAUUUUCAAGUUAAAAAAUAAAACAAUAUAAUGCAUUCUGAUAUAUUUUGAUGUUUUAUUUCUCAUAUAUCAAAGAGAUGAUUUAACAAAUGUAGAAAAGGAUUCAUUACUUUCAUAUUGAAAUUUCAUGAGAUGCAGCUGGCUGUCAUACACACUGAGCUACACAUAACACAUAAGCUACACAUAAGUUACACAUGUAUUUUCUCAGGCACUUUUUGAGUCUGAAUAGAUUAUUUAACUUACAUAAUUUCAGUAUUACACCCAAAUGAGAAUAGCCAAAUCAUAUUGUUCACGUGUUUUACACUUGCUAUAGUUUACUUUCAUGUUGCUUCUUCAUCAAAGAGCAAUGUCAAAUGUAAAUCAAGUCAAUCACUGACAUAUCAGCACCACCUUGAGUAAGAAAUAGCAUGUAUUAUAUGUAUGUGUACACUCAUAUUGAAUACUGAUAAUUCACCAUUGUCUCACAGAAAAUCAAUGUGAUAUACUGUAGUAGUCAUUUGUAUAAAUAUUGAACUCAUUUGUUUUUUAAUAAACAAAGAAAUAUA